GACGAACGCUGGCGGCACGCUUAACACAUGCAAGUCGAACGGUGAAGAGGAGCUUGCUCCUCGGAACAGUGGCGGACGGGUGAGUAACACGUGAGCAACCUGCCUUCAAGAGGGGGAUAACGUUUGGAACGAACGCUAAUACCGCAUAACACUUCCGAAAGGACAUCUUUUGGUAAGUCAAGAUUUAUUGCUGAAGGAUGGGCUCAUGUCUGAUUAGCUAGUUGGUAGGGUAACGGCCCACCAAGGCUACGAUCGUUAGGGGUUCGUGAGAGGAAGGUCCCCCACCACUGGAACUGAGACACGGUCCAGACUCCUACGGGAGGCAGCAGUGAGGAAUAUUGGUCAAUGGGCGAAAGCCUGGCCCAGCAAUGCCGCGUGAAGGAAGAAGGGCCCUUCGGGUUGGUAAACUUCUUUUACCGUAGGACGAAUAAAUAGACGGUACUCGGCGAAUAAGCUCCGGCUAACUACGUG
rnacentral:rRNA from 1 species